rnacentral:rRNA from 1 species
AUGUCUCAAUCUUCUCCUUUCUUUUCCAUUGCCCCCGCACAUGCUGGAGCAGGAGGGCAAGCUGCGGCUGCCGCUCUCCUGCUCCGUUGCCCUGCCGCUCAGCUGCCACCUGCCAUUCACUGCUUCCGUCUGGCUAAAGUGUCGCCUGCCAAGACACUGAGCUCGCACCUGGUGCUUCCGCGCGCCACACUCUCCUCCUUUGCAAACGCUGACGAUGGCUCCGGUGCAAACUCAGAUGCCUCGGGGGAGCAGAGCGGAGGAUCCGAACUGUCAGAGAUGGCAAAGGCAUUCCAUAUUUCACCACGGAUGGCCAUGUCAAUCUCUGUGGUGAUUGCAUUUGCAGCUCUCACUGUUCCCCUGGCCAUGCGCUCACUGCUCUUCCAUGGGACGACCAAGAUGAAGGUGCUGGCAUAUCUGACCCUCUUGUCAGGAUUCUACAUGGCAUGGAACAUUGGAGCCAAUGAUGUGGCAAAUGCCAUGGGGACGUCGGUCGGAUCUGGGGCUUUGACUCUCCGGCAGGCAGUGUUGACUGCAGCUGUGCUAGAGUUCUCUGGUGCAUUCCUUAUGGGCACCCAUGUCACCAGCACCAUGCAGAAGGGCAUCCUCGUCACAUCCGUCUUCCAAGGAAAUGAUUCUCUGCUCUUUGCUGGAUUGCUGUCCUCCCUCGCUGCUGCUGGUACAUGGUUGCAGGUUGCUUCCUCUUAUGGCUGGCCUGUGUCAACUACCCAUUGUAUUGUUGGGGCUAUGGUUGGUUUUGGGCUGGUAUAUGGAGGGGUCAAUGCAGUUUUCUGGAGCUCCUUGGCUAGAGUAUCUUCAUCAUGGCUUAUUUCUCCUCUGAUGGGUGCUGCAGUCUCAUUUCUUGUUUACAAGUGCAUACGCAGGUUCGUGUACAGCGCACCAAAUCCAGGUCAAGCUGCAGCUGCUUCUGCACCUAUUGCAGUUUUUACUGGUGUCACUGCAAUCUCGUUUGCCGCUUUCCCUCUCAGCAAGACAUUUUCCAUUGCCGUUCUGCAAGCAUUAGUAUGUGGGGCAAUAGGAGCUGUCUUUGUUAGCAGGGCAAUCAAAAAACAGCUUGGUGAUCUACUGUCUUCGGAAGCAGAAAAGAUAGCAACAGCUGACAAUACAGAUGUUCAGCAAGGUGGAUUUGACGUCGCUGGCCCUAGAGGAGCUCAACUGCAGAUUGUCUACGGCGUAUUUGGCUACAUGCAGGUCCUGUCAGCAUGCUUCAUGUCAUUCGCUCAUGGAGGCAAUGAUGUCUCCAAUGCCAUAGGGCCUCUGGCCGCAGCUUUGUCUCUUCUUCAAGGCGUAGCAAGCAGCGCUGAGAUAGUCAUACCGACUGAAGUCCUUGCUUGGGGUGGUUUUGGAAUUGUCGCAGGGCUUACAAUGUGGGGUUAUAGAGUCAUAGCAACAAUUGGCAAGAAAAUCACCGAAUUAACACCCACAAGGGGGUUCGCAGCAGAGUUUGCGGCCGCUUCUGUGGUCUUGUUUGCAUCUAAGCUUGGGUUGCCAAUAUCUGCUACACAUACACUUGUUGGUGCAGUGAUGGGUGUAGGAUUUGCAAGAGGUCUCAACAGAGUCAGAGCAGAGACUGUUCGUGAAAUUGUGGUCUCCUGGGUGGUCACAAUUCCAGUUGGUGCUUUGCUAUCAGUCAUCUAUACAUUAAUCUUGACCAAGAUUCUGAAAUACUUUAUGUGA